UAAAAAAGAUAAUAUUAUUUAUACACGUGCAAUACAUGCAAAGCACACCUGAGUUCAGAUACUGAAAGUGAACAUCAGUGGAACUUUGAUGAUCUAGGCCGCUCUAUUUUUGCAGCAACACCAGCAGGCGUCGGACAUUCAUAAAGUUGAAAGAACAAACCUAUGACUUGAACACACAAUUUGUGAUCUGAAUAUAGUUCACAAAUUUAAGGAAAGCAACUAUCAAAGACAUCCAGAUUGAUGGUAUACAUGAAGUAUGAAUGAAAGGCUUUUCAGAAGAACAAGCACAAUCCCGAUUCAUUCUUGCCAUUGUCUGCUCCAGACGGCGACAUUUAGGACCUGACUUACUUUUCAGAAAAAGAAGAUGAAUCGAUUUUUGAUAGUUGAUCUUAAAAAGAUAACAUUUUCAGGGGUCGUGGAUUGAAUGACAUUUUCUUGCAAUCUCCCAUGCAGAGUUGUCGUUCGUUCCUCUCUCAGACACCUCUGCAAUGGGCUCACGUCAAGAUUUUUGACAUAACGUAUAAAACUUGAUAUUUGAAGAAUUGUUUCAAUUCAAAUCAAUAGUUCUGGAUUGAUUUAGUAAAUAUCUAUCUCAAAAUUCAGACAUAAACAUAGAAAUUGAAUUGUAAUGAAUUAAAACAAACGCAAUAUUUCUCGUGUUUAAAACUGUGUAUACGCGAGCCAACGACAGAGGUGAAUGUAUGAGCCGAUGGUAGAGAGUGAUUUUCUUGAUGGGCAACUAGUUUCAAGUAUUUGGAUGUCUAUUCUCAAGUUACUGCAAACCUUAAAUUAACUUCUUGAUUAUUAGUUAAAUGUGAGACCGUUUCUUACUUGAAGUAAUCAUUUUUUGAAUUGAGCUAUGUAAUCUCUGAUUACUUAUGUUUAUGAGUACUGUUCAGCUUUAAGACAAAAGGAUCUUUUAUGAACAUUGCAUUCGUCAUGGUGAAUUUCUAUAC